CGGGGUGUAGCUCAGCCUGGUAGAGCACUGCCUUCGGGAGGCAGGGGCCCGGGGUUCAAAUCCCCGCACCCCGACCA
rnacentral:tRNA from 1 species